AUGUUGCUAGUAUAAGUUAAUAUUACAUUUUUCCAAAGUGUAGAUCUGUAGUUAGUCAGGUGACGUA
rnacentral:tRNA from 1 species